CUCUUUCUCGAUUCAGUGGAUGGUGGUGCAUGGCCGUUCUUAGUUGGUGGAGUGAUCUGUCUGGUUAAUUCCGAUAACGAACGAGACUCUCCCCUGCUAACUAGUCGGUUGGAUCUUGAUCAGCGGGUUGCGUGCCGAGUAACUCUCGCUGUGCGGGUGGUGCGUCUCGGGCCUCACGGUUCGUUGCGUGCUCUCGUGUGGCGUUGGAUGCCUUGGAUCACACUGCACCCCAAGUCCGCCGCUUAUGCUAUAACUCUUCUUAGAGGGAUUCACGGCACUGAAGCCGUAAGAGACUGAGAGCAAUAACAGGUCUGUGAUGCCCUUAGAUGCUCUGGGCCGCACGCGCGCUACAAUGCCGGGCACAGCAGGUGUUUCUCCUGCUCCGACAGGAGCGGGUAACCCUCUGAAAGCCAGUGUUCUUGCAAGUGAUUCCUCCCUCGUGGAGUUUCACAGAGGCGUGCUUGGGCCUGGGACUUGCAAUUCUUUCCCACCAACGAGGAAUGCCUAGUAGCGGCGGGUCACUGAGCCCGCUGUGACUCAGUCCCUGCCCUUUGUACACACCGCCCGUCGCUACUACCGAUUGGGUGUACCAGUGAGAGCCUUGGACUGGCGUCCGUUGUUGCUCGCAAGAGUGACAAGCGGGUCCGACGGAAAGAGGUCCGAA
rnacentral:rRNA from 3 species